GCCGGGUGUGGUGGCACGCACCUGUAGUCCCAGCUACUCGGGAGGCUGAGGCAGAAGAAUCGCUUGAACCCAGGAGGCGGAGGUUGCAGUGAGCCGAGAUUGCACCACUGCACUCCAGCCUGGGUGACAGAGCGAGACUCAGUCUCAA
rnacentral:SRP_RNA from 2 species